GUUGAUGGACUGGCUUUCUGUGCUAGGUGUCUUAUAGGGCCCAGUGGCUCAGCCUCCCCAAUUACCUGAAGUGAACUCUCUUGGUGCACCCCCCUUGUGGCCUGUAUGCACAGUCCUGUUGUAGUUAAGCCUUGAUUUUUUUUGCUUCCCUCUG